CCUACGGGAGGCAGCAGUGAGGAAUCUUCCACAAUGGGCGAAAGCCUGAUGGAGCAACGCCGCGUGAAGGAUGAAGGCCCUCGGGUCGUAAACUUCUUUUAUAAGUGAAGAAUAUGACGGUAACUUAUGAAUAAGCACCGGCUAACUACGUGCCAGCAGCCGCGGUAAUA
rnacentral:rRNA from 1 species